rnacentral:rRNA from 1 species
CCCUUAGAUGUUCUGGGCGGCCCGCGCACUACAAUGGCGCUUUCAGCGAGUUCCUAUGUUGAAUUUUCCUGGGUAUUCUUGGAAGCGGCGUCUUGACUUGGGAUAGAUCCUUGUAAUUGUUGGUUUUGAACGAGGAAUUCCUAGUAAGCACAAGUCAUCGGCUUGUGUUGAUUACGUCCCUGCCCUUUGUACACACCGCCCGUCGCUCCUACCGAUUGAAUGUUCCGGUGAGCUCUUCGGACUGCGCGGUCUACAGUUUCUGCGUUCCGUGCGGAAAGUUGCGCAAACCUUAACAUUUAGAGGAAGGAGAAGUCGUAACA